rnacentral:rRNA from 1 species
GAUGAACGCUGGCGGCGUGCCUAAUACAUGCAAGUCGAGCGAACAGACGAGGAGCUUGCUCCUCUGACGUUAGCGGCGGACGGGUGAGUAACACGUGGAUAACCUACCUAUAAGACUGGGAUAACUUCGGGAAACCGGAGCUACGACCGGAUAAUAUAUUGAACCGCAUGGUUCAAUAGUGAAAGACGGUUUUUCUUUCACUUAUAGAUUGAUCCGCGCCGCAUUAGCUAGUUGGUAAGGUAACGGCUUACCAAGGCAACGAUGGGUAGCCGCCCCGAGAGGGUGGACGGCCACCUUGUAAGUGAGAAACGGCAGCGACUCCUACGGGAGGAAGCAGUAGAGAAUCCUACGCAAGGGAGGAAUGCGUGACAGAGCAACGCGGCGUGAGUCAUGAAGGAGUACGGCUCCGAGAGCUCUGUAAGUAUGGAAGAAGAAAUGUGUAAGUACCCAUGAAGGUAAUGACGGUACCGAGUGAGAAAGCCACGGCUAACUACGUG